UUUCCAUUGUGAAUAACUCUGCCACAUACAGGACAUGAAGUGAUUAGCAAUAUGUAGUAAUGUGUAGUGAGCAUUUCUGGCUUGCUUGAGAUGGGGAAGAAAGUGUUAAAUCUUUUCCUUGCUCUUGAUUUAACACAGGUGGAACCUCAAAAGGUCUUCAGUAUGAUUAGUGUUAUUUUUUUUUAAGUGUGAAUUGCAGCCUCAGAGGGAAGGCUGAAGCAGAUCCCGAUGGACAAAAGGUUUGAAUUUCAUUCCCAUUUGGUCACGGUCACGGCCUGGACUACAAAAGUCGACACUGCUCUGGAU
rnacentral:lncRNA from 1 species